AUGGCGUCUCGGGGAGGUUACGACGGCGGCUCCGCCACGGGAGGCAAGAUCCGUAGGCGCCCUCCCUCCCGCGUCGCAGCUGCGUCACCCUAUGCGCGCCCGGCUGCUCCUGCUCAUCCAGCGUCACCCUAUGCGCGCCCGGCUGCUCCUGCUCAUCCAGCGUCACACGGCGGUGAAGGGAGCGGCUGGCUCGCCCGUCUCAUCUCCGGUGGCGCAUCGCGCCUCCUCUCCUCUGUGUUUCGCAAGCCGCCUCCUCAGCUCGCCGCGCCUACGCUUUCGGAACCAGAGUUGGUCGACGCUCCUUGCUCGUCGCCGCCGCCGCCUUUAGAGAACGACAUUCUAGAAGAAAACGGAGGAGGGACUGCUAACAAUCUGUCUACUGAUAAUCCUGAAAAUUAUCCCAUUGAUGGAGAUGACAUUCUAAGUUCUUGUUUCAAUGGUAGUAUGGAUCUUGAAGAAUUGUUGAAGCAGAAGACCUUUACAAGGAGUGAGUUUGAAUAUUUGACUGGGUUGUUGCGAUCCAGAACUGUUGGAUCCAAUACAAUGCAGUCAGAAGUUAAUAAUAUAAAACAAACAUUGUCUCCCGAGAAGGAAAAGGGAUCUAGAGACUUACCUGUUGAUUUCUCCAUUAAAUCAUACAGUAUCGCUGAUCAAGUUGCUUCACCUGCAGAACUUGCAAAGGCAUAUAUGGGUUCAAGAUGUUCAGAGGGGGCACCGUUACGCCUUAGAUUGCAUGAACCCUCCUCCCUUUCUGUCAAAUCAAUAGAAUCUGGCACAAUACAAAUAGCUAAAUCUCCAAAGGCCCCACUUCUCGGAAUUUCAAGAUUGUCUGCUUCCACACCCUUUGAUCGCCUUGGAAGCAACUAUAGGACUCCAAAUAAAUCAGCAAUACACAAAAUGUCAUCAUCUCCUUAUUUUAAGGGUCCUGUUUCUUCUAGGGACAUAUGUGGUACUGUAUCUUCAUCAUAUCAGACUGCAAACAGCGUUCAUACAUUUGGCAGGCAGUUCCUGAGGAGGAAGAACAUUGCUCUCAACAAUGAGACUGUGUCUGUUGGCCCCAUACGCAAAAUGCACCAAAGAUAUAACAGAGUAUCAUCACUCUCGGAAACAUGGCCUGGUUAUCGUGAGUAUCCUGGUAAUGAUGCAAGCAAACUGGAUGAAGGUUUCGAACACUCCACACAAACUCAAAAGCGUCUGCGUCUGGCUGAAGUUGACGAUGGCACUCUACGUAUCUGUGGCAACAGUUUUGUUAAAGCACCAGCUCAAUCAACUGAGAUGGCUGCAAAGAUAUUGAAACAGCUUGAUACAUUAGUCCCUUCACCUCCAGAGAAGGAAAGCACACCAGAAACGAAGCAAAAACAUGGAAAUGUCCUGGAUGUUGAGGAUUCUAUUUCUCGGAGAAAGGAAAUACCAUCUCAGGGCAGCCUUUUGGAAUCAUCUUCGUCAUUCAUCCCAGCUGCAAUAGAUGGCAAGACUGUUGAUGCUAUGUCAAACGGUUCUGCCCUCCUCCUAGAAAGUAAAUCAUCCUCUGAAUUAAUUACUUCACCCAAGGAUUCUCUGGAGGUGGACCACUGCAGUGGAAGUAUUGAAAUUGAGAAAAACUACUCACCAAUCCAGGAACAUGCUGCUAACAACUCUGGAACAACAAAUAAGGAGAAUCCCCCAACAGCCUCUUUGCGAAGCUAUUCUCCUUCCAAUCUGGUGUUAUCUAGUGAAAUAAAACGAACCAAAAUGCUGGCUUCAUCAAAUGGCUUCUCAUUCCCUGUCACGGCUGCACCGGGUGCCCACUCACAGGCCCCUCCAACGCCUACUAUGGCAUCUCCACCUGCACUACAUGUUGGAAAGCACAAAUCUUCUGCACUACCCAGUGUGCCAGUUACUUCCCCGGAAAGUGCUCCAAGGUUUUUGAAACGAGUUUCAGAAGAAAGCUCAAUUUCAGACAAGCACAAUAAGAAGUUAAAUGGAGAAAUUCCGCCGGUUUCUUCCAAGGGUGCUGGACAUGUUGCAUCAUUCACUAGUAACCCUGUAUUUACUGUUGCCAGUUCCAAGCCUACAACCUUAAGUAAUGGGCUAGAACAUACAUCAAAAUCAACUGCCUCUGCUGUUCUGGCGUCUAAUAAACCGAACAACCCAUUUUUGUCUACAAAUACUGCCUCUUCCCAAUCUGCUAGAGCACCAACAUCUGGAAGUGCCAAUGCGCCUUUCAAUUUCUCACCAAAGUUUGGUGGUGCAAGUUUGUUAGCUGCCCAGAACAAAUCCAAGGCAGGAAGCAGCAGUGCCCCAUUUAAUUUCUCUCCGCAGUUUGGUAGUGUGAAUUUGGUCGCGUCUCUGGAUAAGUCCAAAGUAACCUCACCUGAAUCAACGUUGUUGUCUGGAAACCAGUUCGCCCAACCAGGAAAUAACAAUUCAUUGUGCACACAGAGUUCAGCAAGUAAGUCGGAUAUGAUGUCUCCGGAAGAAUCAAACACGGGGAGCUUACCAUUUGGUUCAGCACCUCUGAGCCCUAGUCCUUUCAGUUUGAGCUCUGUAGCUGCCUCUGGCACGACCUCUGUGAUUACAACUACUCCACUGCCUCUGCCAUCUAUGGCUUCUUCUGCUUUGGGGUCUAGUAAAGCAUUCUCGGUGUCACCAAUAUUUGGCAGCAGUCCAAUCACGACUGCUCCAUCGUCGUUUGGCAUGCCGAAUAAUGGUUCCGCUAUGUCCAUUAGCCCCUCUAGCGCUGUAUUUUCAUUCACUUCGGCCACACCUACAAUACCAGAUCCACCAUCCUCAACACCACUAUUUGGUAGCACGAUCCCAACUAUUGGCUUCAGUACAGGAACUGAUCAGAUGACUGUGGGGAAUAACCAUACUCUUUCUGUUACGGCCCCACCAUUUGGCUUUCAGAGCAAUUCACUGUCAACUCCAGCUUUCAGCGGCUUUCAGAGCAAUUCACUGUCAACUCCAGCUUUCAGCACGCCAGCUACUCAAUUCGCUUCCACCUCAACCACCUCACCUGGCAUUUUCCAGUUUGGCCAGCAGAGUCAAGCUUCGUCAGGUGUCUUUUCAAUGGGCACUGUCCGUGACAAUGACAAGUCUGGCAGAAGAAUUGUCAAGGUAAAGAGAAAGAAAUAG
rnacentral:rRNA from 1 species